rnacentral:snRNA from 1 species
AGUUUUGUGCAGUGGCAGUAUUGUAGCCAAUGAGGUCUAUGUGAAGAACAAUUAUUGCUAAUUGAAAACAAGAGUCAAUAUAAAAAUAUUUGGGCACGUAAUAUAUA